rnacentral:lncRNA from 1 species
CGUUCCGUGCUCACGGACUUCAACUUUUCCAUCUUUUACGUAUUCGAUCUUGAUAUAAGUUAUGCUCAAGUUAUCUGCUCCGACGGUUAUUUUCUUCACACCUUCGAAACCAACAUCGUCGAAUGGUUCUCCCUUGUCACCACCAAGAGGUCCCUUCUUCCCGGGGACAUCAGUUUUAGGACCGUCUUUGCUAGGGACGUCGCCUCCGUCACCACCUUGUGAACCGGUGUCAAAGUAAGCUCCAAUGGCAUCAAUAGCAUUACCACCACGUCCAUGCAAACCAAUAAGCUUCCCUCCAUUUUCAUCUUUGAACUCGAAUUCUGUUCCCUUCUUCUCACUGUUGAUACCGAAUAAUGGAGAGGUAAAACCUUUGGAGGUUGUGAAGUAAAGCGAUGUGAUAAGCGUCGUAUCAUAGGUGUAGUUAUGUUUGUAGGUUCCACCAACUUCCGUGAUACUAUCGUUUGGAUAGUCCACUGAAAACUGUAUUUAAUUUACCAUUAGAAGCAAACAUAUUAGUAUCAAACUAAUUGAAUAUUUUAACAUAAGUCACCAAUAAAUUUAUUUUAUACCUCUUUUAGUUUCCCACGAGCCGUUCCGUGCUCACGGACUUCAACUUUUCCAUCUUUUACGUAUUCGAUCUUGAUAUAAGUUAUGCUCAAGUUAUCUGCUCCGACGGUUAUUUUCUUCACACCUUCGAAACCAACAUCGUCGAAUGGUUCUCCCUUGUCACCACCAAGAGGUCCCUUCUUCCCGGGGACAUCAGUUUUAGGACCGUCUUUGCUAGGGACGUCGCCUCCGUCACCACCUUGUGAACCGGUGUCAAAGUAAGCUCCAAUGGCAUCAAUAGCAUUACCACCACGUCCAUGCAAACCAAUAAGCUUCCCUCCAUUUUCAUCUUUGAACUCGAAUUCUGUUCCCUUCUUCUCACUGUUGAUACCGAAUAAUGGAGAGGUAAAACCUUUGGAGGUUGUGAAGUAAAGCGAUGUGAUAAGCGUCGUAUCAUAGGUGUAGUUAUGUUUGUAGGUUCCACCAACUUCCGUGAUACUAUCGUUUGGAUAGUCCACUGAAAACUGUUUAUUAGAAACAAAUCUAUAUUAGUAACGAACCAAUUGAAUAGUGUAACAAAAAUUCGCAUUUAUUACCUCUUGUAGUUCCCCACGACUUGUCCCGUGCUCACGGAUUUCGACUUUUCCAUCUUUCACGUAUUCGAUCUUGAUGUAAGUUACACUGUAUUGAUCGGCUCCAACGGUAAUUUUCUUCACACCUUCGAAACCAACAUCGUUGAAUUCUUCUCCUUUUUCACCACCAAGAGGUCCCUUCUUCCCGGGGACAUCAGUUUGUGAACCGCCGCCGCCCUUACCUCCUUGUGAACCGGUGUCGAAGUAAGCUCCAAUUGCAUCAAUAGCAUUACCUCCACGUCCAUGGAACCCAAGAAGCUUUCCUCCAUUUUCACCUUUGAACUCGAAUUCUGUUCCCUUCUUUUCACUGUCGAUACCGAAUAAUGGAGAGGUGAAACCUUUGGAGGUUGUGAAGUAAAGCGAUGUGAUGAGAGUCGUAUCAUAGGUGUAAACAUGUUUGUAGGUUCCACCAACGGCCGUGAUAUUAUCGUUCGGAUAGUCCACUGAAAACUGUAUUUUAUUAUC